GGUCCCUGUACAUCGGGCCUGUAGAUACGGGAGGUCGGCACCAGGCACUGUACCACCAUACAUCAACCAUGUUUCAUGUUUCCUCACCACUUCAUUACCAUCAAAUACAUUUUGACUGUCUGACUGAGUUUAGUUUUACGCCGCACUCAGCA